UAAAAGGCAUGAUGACAGUUC
rnacentral:piRNA from 1 species